rnacentral:misc_RNA from 1 species
UGUUAACCUAUCAUGGACCAUCGUUUCUUCAAAAUUGUGUAUUUUCCUUGAUCCACGAGGGAUGGUAAAGACAAGUGGGGAUGUUCGGCGAGACAACGUCUAAAUGUUGCCCGAGUAUUCACAAGGAUAUCUGAUAGAGACUACAGCAACUGCUUCUGGACUGAGGUCAUUUUCACGGGUGUUCCUGAGUUUACUCCUCUUUGGCACGAUUCUUCUUGUCGUCGACUCCUAUCGGCAACCGGCAGAGAACGAUUCCACACCUCGUGGUAUCAGCUUGUGUCACUAUCAGGUACACUUGCCGCUGGAAGCUGUGGAAGCUUCGAAGGCUUUGAGAACGUCUCGCACCGGGGUAAAGGAUUUUCGACACAAUAGCGAGCUUCUGCGGUUCUUCAUCGUAGACGAGGAACGUCUUUCACGCUUGAAAUUCCGCCCACCGGAAGUUGGAUCAACGUCCCGAGACUUGGAGGAAGCUCUUCAGGAAACGUCGUCGCACCCACCCCGGAGGAAGAUUGCGCGCUCUCGUAAGAAACUCGGAGAUUCGGUUAAGAUAUCUGACAUUUUUACGCAUAUCGGCCAAAUACGAAAGACGAGUGCUCCAAGGAAUAGCAGAGAUUCCUGGGAUUUACUGCGACGAGUGUUUACACAACGCGAGCAUCGACGAAGCGUUUUGUAAACCGGAGCAAGAUACCGUGAUAAAAUAUUACAUGGAUUGUCAUUCAGUACAUUUAUCAAAAGCAGCCGUCGUAUCACCGGUUUAUUUAAUGGAGAUACGGUGUUUUGUAAACCGGAGCAAGAUACCGUGAUAAAAUAUUACAUGGAUUGUCAUUCAGUACAUUUAUCACAAGCAGCCGUCG